GAAAAAAUUGUUUCUCAUAAUAGUAAAUGUAUUAAGGCAUGCAAAGGGAGUAGGGGGGUUAACUUCCUAUUUCCUCUGUGGGGGUGGUAUGAAUGUUUUCUGGAAUGACCCAAUUGUCAUCACAAAAAAUUAGUUAAAUUUUCUCGGGGGGGGGUGAGUUGCCCCUGCUGCUUUCCGUGCUGUCACAGAAUAAGAAGGUACAGCAGAAGUGUAACUUGAGUCGGUUCCCUUAUUGUUUUACGUCCACAAAAAUUUUAACUCACUCACACCAUCCUGGCUAGUACAAGGUUUUGGUAGGUGCAAAGUGCCGGUUGUACUAGCCAGGAUGACGUGAUUGAUGACGAAUCACUUGUAAAAACGCGGACAAAUACUUGCUUGCAUUAUACUUCUGCUGUAACUUCUUAUUCUGUAGUGCUGUCUACAGCCUUGUUAGAUUUGUACUAUGUUUGACUUUAAAAUCUUAUUUGCUAUUAUAUUUAUUAUAAUAAGUGAUGAAAAUGUGAAUCAAGUUUUUUCGCAGAUACAUGUACGCGUCGCGUACCUAUUUUUGAAGAAACUGUGGGAAUGAGAAUACAACAUCUACAGCUU